UAAAUUUUAUUUAUUAAUUUUAUUUAUUUAAGUAUUAUAUUUAAUAAAAAUAAUUUUAAUUCAGUAUAGUUUUAGUAUUUUUUAAAGAAAUAAUAAUUUUAAUAAUAGUUUAUUUGUAUUGUAAAAGAAGAUUGAAAUAAUUUGAAAAAUUUUUAUUUUAAAAGAAAAUUUAAUUUAUUGUACCUUGUGUAUCAGGGUUUAUUAAUUAAUUAAUUAUUAUAGUAAUUUUUCUCGAAUUUUAAAGAUUUAAUUAUAUAUAAAAGUUAUUGUGGAAUAAUUAUUUUUAAUAUAUAAUUAGAAAUGAAAUGUUAAUCGUUUUAAAAUAUAUCUCGUUUUUUAAGAAAUAAAUUUAAUCUAGAUUUAUAAAUUAACAGUAUUAUUUAUUUAAUAUUUUUAAUUUAUAAAAUUAAUAUUUUAAGGGAUUAGCUUUAAAAUAAAUUUUUAAAUUUUAAAAAAGUAUUUAAUAAAUGUAAGCUUAAAAAUAGUUAUCAUUAAUAAAUUUGUUAUAAUUUAUUUUAAAUUUUUUAUUAUUUAUUAUAAAAUUAAAUUAUUUAUUAAAAAUAUAAUUUUAAUAUUAAUGAUUUAUAAAUUAUGGUAAAUUAGUAUAUUUAAUUUAUAUAAAUUAUUUAAAUUGAGAGGUUUAAAUAAGGAAUUCGGCAAAUUAUAUAUUCACCUGUUUAUCAAAAACAUGUCUUUUUGUAUUUAAUUUAAAGUCUAACCUGCCCACUGAUAGAUAUUAAAGGGCCGCAGUAUUUUGACUGUGCGAAGGUAGCAUAAUCAGUAGUCUUUUAAUUGAAGGCUUGUAUGAAUGGUUGAAUGAGAUAUAUACUGUCUUUUUUAAAUUUUUAUAGAAUUUUAUUUUUUAAUUAAAAAGUUAAAAUAUAAUUAAAAGACGAGAAGACCCUAUAGAUCUUUAUUUUUUUUAAUUAUAAGUUAAAAAGAAUAAUUAAAUUUAUAGUUUUAUAAAAAAUUUUACUGGGGUGGUAUUAAAAUUUAAUUAACUUUUAUUAUUUGUUUACAUUAAUAUAUGUAUAUUUGAUCCAAUUUUAUUGAUUAAAAAAUUAAGUUACCUUAGGGAUAACAGCGUAAUUUUUUUUUAGAGUUCUUAUCGACAAAAAAGAUUGCGACCUCGAUGUUGGAUUAAGAAUUAUUUUUAGGUGUAGAAGUUUAAAGUUUAGGUCUGUUCGACCUUUGAAUUCUUACAUGAUCUGAGUUCAAACCGGCGUAAGCCAGGUUGGUUUCUAUCUUUAAUAAAUUAUUAUAUUAUAGUACGAAAGGACCUAAUAUAAAAAAUAUAAAUUUUAAAUUUAUGAAUUAUAUUAAUAUUUAAUAA
rnacentral:rRNA from 1 species